GUCCAGCGGAUCACCAUGUCAAGGAAUGAGCAGUUAAAUAAGAGUCUUUUCGACAAAAUUAAGAGGGAGUAUUUCAUAACUGAACAUGUGUUAUGUACAAUCUGUUACUGACUGGCAUUGUGAAAAACGCAGAGAAAAAUGAAGCCUGAGGACGCUAUCAGCCUUUCCUGUCAAGUAUUGGCCACUACUAUCUGCAUUAGCUUCACCUCAGAACAUGCCCUUUUUCACUUGGAAAGAGGAAGUAGGAGUUCUCAGUGAUGAUCAUCUACAAGAUACCAUACAUGUUUGUUGAUUGACUAACAAAGACAAAGGUCGUACCGUUAUUGAUGUUUCUAUAGCAUUGUUUCCAGCUGCUGUAACACCUGUUUUUACACUUGCGAGUAUGAACUAUUUGGCUAUAUUUUAUAGAACUUAUGUACCGAUGUAGAAUGAUAUAUCAUGCUUUUAUACUUUAUGAUAUACCUUUUCGUUGUAGUAUUUUGGAAAGUUGCAAUGCUCAACAUUUGUAUAGACUUCUAUCAUAAUGAUCCUCUCCUUGCCAGUUGCCAAUGAUUUUUUUGUACCAUUGCUCAUAUGAUCUUAUCAAUGUUGAAGGUACAUAUGUUUAGAAACACUCUUUUGCAUCAGAUUAUUGACUAAUAACGUCAUAUUGUCUCUCACAAAGUAAAAACUUAA